rnacentral:rRNA from 1 species
UACAGAGGGUGCAAGCGUUAAUCGAAAUUACUGGGCGUAAAGCGCACGUAGGCGGUUUUUUAAGUCAGAUGUGAAAGCCCCGGGCUCAACCUGGGAAUUGCAUUUGAAACUGGCCAACUAGAGUACGUGAGAGGGGGGUAGAAUUCCAAGUGUAGCGGUGAAAUGCGUAGAGAUUUGGAGGAAUACCAGUGGCGAAGGCGGCCCCCUGGCACGAUACUGACGCUCAGGUGCGAAAGCGUGGGGAGCAAACAGG